UACGGGGGGGGGCAAGCGUUGUUCGGAAUUACUGGGCGUAAAGGGUGUGCAGGCUGCCCCUCAAGUGGUGUAUGAAAGGGCUCGGCUCAACCGGGCUAGGUUAUGCCAGACUGAGGGGCUAGAGAGCGAGAGCGGGACGUGGAAUUCCGGGUGUAGUGGUGAAAUGCGUAGAGAUCCGGAGGAACCCCAGAGGCGAAGGCGGCGUCCUGGCUCGCAUCUGACGCUCAGACACGACAGCAUGGGGAGCGAACGGG
rnacentral:rRNA from 1 species